rnacentral:rRNA from 1 species
UAAGGACCAACCGCGCAGCUGACCGGAGAGCACCUCCGGGGUCUCACGUGGGCGAACGGGUGAAGUCACACGUACGGGAAACCCGGCCCGCGCACCGGGAAUAACGCUCCGGAAACGGAGAAACAAAUUCCCGACGUACAGGAAGGAGGCAUCUUCUUCUGUGAAACAUCCUUUAGGGGAUGGGGCGCGGAUGGACCUGCGGUGCAUUAGUUGGUUGGCGGGGUAAAGGCCCACCAAGACGAUGAUGCAUAGCCGGCCUGAGAGGGUGGACGGCCACAUUGGGACUGAGACACGGCCCAGACUCCUGCGGGAGGCAGCAGUAGGGAAUUUUCGUCAAUGGGCGCAAGCCUGAACGAGCGAUGCCGCGUGAGUGAAGAAGGCCUUCGGGUCGUAAAGCUCUGUUGCGGGGGAAAAAAGGCAGCAUCAGGAAAUGGGUGCUGACUGAUGGUGCCCCGCCAGAAAGUCACGGCUAACUACGUGCCAGCAGCCGCGGUAAUACGUAGGUGGCGAGCGUUAUCCGGAAUGAUUGGGCGUAAAGGGUGCGCAGGCGGUCCUGCAAGUCUGGAGUGAAACGCAUGAGCUCAACUCAUGCAUGGCUUUGGAAACUGGAGGACUGGAGAGCAGGAAAGGGCGGUGGAACUCCAUGUGUAGCGGUAAAAUGCGUAAAUAUAUGGAAGAACACCAGUGCCGAAGGCAGCCGCCUGGCCUGUUGCUGACGCUGAAGCACGAAAGCGUGGGGAGCAAAUAGGA